rnacentral:rRNA from 2 species
UACGUAGGGACCAAGCGUUGUCCGGAAUCAUUGGGCGUAAAGAGCGUGUAGGCGGCUUGUUAAGUCUUGCGUGAAAUCUCGGGGCUCAACCCCGAGCGGUCGUGAGAAACUGGCAGGCUAGAGUGCGGGAGAGGAGAGUGGAAUUCCUGGUGUAGCGGUGAAAUGCGCAGAUAUCAGGAAGAACACCCGUGGCGAAGGCGGCUCUCUGGAACGCAACUGACGCUGAGACGCGAAAGCGUGGGGAGCAAACAGG